UUCCCGCGGGUCCUUAAAAAGUCUUAAUCACCCUUAAAUUAAAAUUCGGGAAAUUAAGCUCUUAAAUUGUCUUAAAUUUACCGUAAAGUCGCUAUAGGUAUUACAUUUUCAGCCUGUUUGCUUAAUGACGAUAUGGAAACACAGUGGUCCACCGUAAAACAUCUUAUAGUUGAUCAAUUUAGUAUGUGUGAAAUAGGUGAAAAAUUACAGCAUUUUUAUUACGGUAGGUUGGCUACAGACGCUGACGUCGGUCUGCAUCUCCGUGCUGUCAUUACACGGUUGUUGAGGUGAGGUUCAAAAUACAAAGAUGGGAAAGUGUAAAUUUA
ensembl:processed_transcript